rnacentral:rRNA from 1 species
UACGGAGGGGGCUAGCGUUGCUCGGAAUCACUGGGCGUAAAGGGUGCGUAGGCGGGUCUUUAAGUCAGGGGGGAAAUCCUGGAGCUCAACUCCAGAACUGCCUUUGAUACUGAGGAUCUUGAGUUCGGGAGAGGUGAGUGGAACUGCGAGUGUAGAGGUGAAAUUCGUAGAUAUUCGCAAGAACACCAGUGGCGAAGGCGGCUCACUGGCCCGAUACUGACGCUGAGGCACGAAAGCGUGGGGAGCAAACAGG